CAGAAAAAGGAAGAAAGAAACAGAGGGAGAAAGGGGGAGAGAGAGAAACGAGGACCGAAAAUGAAAGACAGCUCUGAAGAAAAAGAAAGGUUGGAUUACGGAGCUUAAGAGCAGAAACUGCCAUCUAGUCCACAUCUCUAGAAGAACUGCAGAGUCCUGGUAAUUGCUUUCAGAAGUCCAGAGAAACAGUGAGAAAGAGCGCCAGCGGAGAUCUGUCGCCAUGUUAGGAACUGAGCCUUCCGUUAAUAUGGAUGAAGUGACGCAGGAAAGCACUACCCUGGCAGCUUGCAGCAGCUACCCUGAAUAAAAACGACACGAAAAAGAAGGAGAAAAGGAGACAGCAGAAAUUCGGAGAGGGAAAAUGGAGUUCUGCACGAGUCCCGUCCGCCCCUCCACCUCGCCCCUCUCGCUCCUCUUCCCGAUCCGCACAAAGACGGUCCAGACUGCAGCAAGCUCACAGGCACCAAGCAGGAAGAGAACUCUACUGAUAAGGGGUGGGAAAGGGGAUGGGGGAGACCUGUCGUCUGGAGCACACGCAUAUAGACUGGCAGUGUAAAUGAAUGUGUUAGCAGUUUGGUUAAAAAAGACAAGACAGGCAGGUUGCCGGCGAGCCAGGAGGGAGGCUUGUCUGUGUGGCUGUCUCUCUCCCCUCGGCUCCUCCAUCCUGUAUUCUGCUCACGCGCGGCUGCGGCACCCCUCCACCAAUCCCCAGCAUUAAUCCGCACCUCAGACAGCCUGACUGCCAGAGACUCCCCUCUGUACAAUACAGAUCAGCUUUCAAACUUCCUGAGUGCUGAAAUCAGCUGGGCCCGAGCCACGCUGGAGAGGGGCUGACAAAGUGCUGUGUCCCUUUUUUCAAAGACACAAAAAUAAGAAAUCAGCCUCUGGGAGUCUUGGCAGACUAUCUGCGUGUGGCUUUCUGAGAUGGAGGCAUUAACAGAGCCUGUGUGCAGCUGGACUACAGCACCUACUGCCUGAACGCCAGCCAUCGACGUGCAGUUGCAUCUCUAAAGAGGAGAGCUCUUCAGCCCCAGAACGCGCUGCUGUUAGCUCUUGCUCGCUGUAGAGGAGGAUACUGUACAUGUCCUGUAUUACUGUCUGUUGUGCUUUUACCAUUUAGACCACCAUGCUGACAAACAAACGGAGAUGCUGAACUAAUUGUUUCUGUAGUUAUCACUUCAAAAACACCCUGUGAUAUACCAUGGUAACAACUGUGCUAAGUCGAGAAGAGUGUAGGGAAGCAUGCUAUGAAUUAUACCAUAGUAAAGAAAAGUAAAUGUCUGGUAAAACCCGGGGAAACUGCAACCCGCCAAGGGAAAUAAGGUGGGUGGGGUGUUGUAGUAUGCUGUGAAUUACAUGGGCCAGAGCCUAUAGUACUCUCUGACUCUCCCCUGUGCUCUUAUCUGACUCCUUGCUUCAAGUAACAUUACAGGAAGUAGCUUUCAGGAACAUUUACUCACAAAGGAACUUGGCAACAUAAGAAAAAAGACACGGAGAACCAUAAAUAUUCCCAAUAAUCAGGUGUGAGAACAGGACAGAAACAGAAAGGAGAAGCUGUUUGUAAAACUGCCAUAUCCCUCUACAAUACCCCUCUGUUCCCUGUGACUCAUUAGCACACUGUCGGAAAGGGAGCGAGACACAGCGAUCUGACACUGCGAUCCAUCUAAAGGGCCCUGCGCCAGUCUCGCCACUCCCUGCAACACAGCCCAGCUGCCGAUUGAGGGUUUUUUUUACUAAAUGAGUUAUUUUCCCAUUCAGUCUGUAGUUCGGAACAGCCAAUUGCUAUUCCGUCCAUCUCCUGCGCUGACCUGCAGAAGCGAUCGAAAAACACUGUGUGUGUCCGUGACUGAGUCAUCGGGCCAGCUGCCCCGGCUCCCACGGCGCACCGGGACAGAAACAGCUGAGCUGUUUUGCCAAAUGGAAGAGCGCUAAGCCCUGGAGACGCCUGGCGGCUUUGCCCAUCCCAACCCCUGGCAGUGCCCUGGCUGAGUCAUGACCACAGGGGUACCCUGGAAUGGCGCAGCCUGAGGUUAAACACGCCUCGGGGGUCAGGGCCCGCCCCACACAUCAGAAAGUCUUCUUGCCGCAGCCCCAGUGCCCAUUAAACACUGGUCUUCUCCAGAUGCCUUAGGGUAUUAAACUCUGGAGUUGGACGAUCUUAACUUAGGAACACAAUUUCACUAACAGCUAAAAUCAGAUAUUAAUAAUACAAACCAUUUAAACAUCCCUGUUGUAUCCCCAAAUUACAUAAAGGAGGGGACCCAAUUCAUCCCCCAGAGCACUGCUGGGUGAUGACCAGCAGGCUCUACUGCACAGCAGAUCGGGGGAGCAGUGAGAAACUGCAUCACCAGUUGAAUUAAGAGGGAUCUUCAGGGAGGCCGUACUGUAUAAAACCAAUGUGGAAUUCAGCCAGGACACUGGGGUUAAAACUCCUACUCUUACAAAAAAAUGCAAUGGGGAUCUUUAAAGGAU